UACGUAGAGUGCAAGCGUUAAUCGGAAUUACUGGGCGUAAAGCGUGCGCAGGCGGUUGUGCAAGACAGAUGUGAAAUCCCCGGGCUCAACCUGGGAAUUGCAUUUGUGACUGCACGGCUAGAGUGUGUCAGAGGGGGGUAGAAUUCCACGUGUAGCAGUGAAAUGCGUAGAGAUGUGGAGGAAUACCGAUGGCGAAGGCAGCCCCCUGGGAUAACACUGACGCUCAUGCACGAAAGCGUGGGGAGCAAACAGG
rnacentral:rRNA from 1 species